GUAGGGUGCGAGCGUUAAUCGGAAUUACUGGGCGUAAAGCGUGCGCAGGCGGUUUGUAAGACAGAGGUGAAAUCCCCGGGGCUCAACCUGGGAACUGCCUUUGUGACUGCAAGGCUAGAGUACGGCAGAGGGGGAUGGAAUUCCGCGUGUAGCAGUGAAAUGCGUAGAUAUGCGGAGGAACACCGAUGGCGAAGGCAAUCCCCUGGGCCUGUACUGACGCUCAUGCACGAAAGCGUGGGGAGCAAACAGGAUUAGAUACCCUGGUAGUCCACGCCCUAAACGAUGUCAACUGGUUGUUGGGUCUUAACUGACUCAGUAACGAAGCUAACGCGUGAAGUUGACCGCCUGGGGAGUACGGCCGCAAGGUUG
rnacentral:rRNA from 1 species